GGCGAACGCUUGCGGCGUGCCUAAAAAAUGCAAGUCGAGCGGGGCUUUUGGCUUCGGCUUCAAGUCUAGCGGCGAACGGUCGCGUAACACGUAAGCAACCUGCCCCCAAGACCGGGACAACGUUCCGAAAGGAGCGCUAAUACCGGAUGUGGCCCUCUCUGGGCAUCCAGAGAGGAUUAAACCAGGCAACUGGCUUGGGGAUGGGCUUGCGGCCUAUCAGCUUGUUGGUGGGGUAACGGCCUACCAAGGCUUCGACGGGUAGCUGGUCUGAGAGGAUGGUCAGCCGGACUGGGACUGAGAUACGGCCCAGACUCCUACGGGGGGCAGCAAUUAGGAAUCUUGCGCAAUGGGCGAAAGCCUGACGCAGCGACGCCGCGUGGAGGAGGACGGCCU
rnacentral:rRNA from 1 species